rnacentral:rRNA from 1 species
CUGCAGCUCAAGUGGUGACCACUAUUAUUGGGCCUAAAACGUUCGUAGCCGGUUUGGUAAAUGCCUGGGUAAAUCGUGUAGCUUAACUAUACGAAGUCCGGGUAGACUGCCAAACUUGAGACCGGGAGAAGCCAGAGGUACUCCUGGGGUAGAGGUGAAAUUCUGUAAUCCUGGGGGGACCACCAGUGGCGAAGGCGUCUAGCUAGAACGGGUCUGACGGUGAGGAACGAAGCCCUGGGGCGCAAACCGGAUUAGAUACCCGAGUAGUCC